AAACUUUCAACAACGGAUCUCUUGGCUCUCGCAUCGAUGAAUAACGCAGCGAAAUGCGAUAAGUAGUGUGAAUUGCAAAACUUUGUGAACCAUCGAAUCUUUGAACGCAAAUUGCGCCUUCUUUCGGAAAGCAUGUCUGUUUGACGGCACCAU
rnacentral:rRNA from 1 species